GUGAGGAAUUUUCCGCAAUGGGCGAAAGCCUGACGGAGCAAUGCCGCGUGAAGGAUGAAGGCCUAUGGGUUGUAAACUUCUUUUCUCAGAAAAGAAUUAUGACGGUAUCUGAGGAAUAAGCAUCGGCUAACUCUGUGCCAGCAGCCGCGGUAAGACAGAGGAUGCAAGCGUUAUCCGGAAUGAUUGGGCGUAAAGCGUCUGUAGGUUGUUUAAAAAGUAUUCUGUCAAAGAUUAGGGCUUAACCCUAGAUAGGCAGAAUAAACUUUUAAGCUAGAGUUUGGUAGAGGCAGAGGGAAUUCCCGGUGGAGCGGUGAAAUGCGUAGAUAUCGGGAGGAACACCAAAGGCGAAGGCACUCUGCUGGGCCAAUACUAACACUGAGAGACGAAAGCGAGGGGAGCAAAUGGGAUUAGAAACCCUAGUAGUC
rnacentral:rRNA from 1 species